GCAUAUCAAUAAGCGGAGGAAAAGAAACUAACAAGGAUUCCCUUAGUAACGGCGAGUGAAGCGGGAAGAGCUCAAAUUUGAAAUCUUCAAGGUUUUACCUUGACGAAUUGUAGUUUAAAGAAGUGUUUUCUGUUGAAGUUUUGGUAAAAGUUCUUUGGAAUAGGACAUCAUAGAGGGUGAGAAUCCCGUAUUUGACCAUUAUUUUCAGCUGUGUGAUACACUUUCAAAGAGUCGGAUUGUUUGGGAAUGCAGUCCAAAAUGGGUGGUAAAUUUCAUCUAAAGCUAAAUAUUGGCGAGAGACCGAUAGCGAACAAGUACCGUGAGGGAAAGAUGAAAAGAACUUUGAAAAGAGAGUUAAACAGUACGUGAAAUUGUCAAAAGGGAAGCGUUUGACACCAGUGUUGUUUUCUCGAAAAUCAAUUAAAAAGAGUUUGAUUUUGUUGUGUAUUGACCUUAACAGCUUGCAUUUCAAUUUUCUUGCUUUUUUUAAUGCACUUUUCGUUUAACAAGUCAACAUCAGUUUCUUUUGUUGUAAAAAGGUCAUUGGAAGGUGGCUUUCUUUUCGGAGAAAGUGUUUAUAGCCUUUGACUCCUGCAAUCGGAGAGACUGAGGUCUGCAGCGUAGAUCCUUCGGGGUUAGAUACAUUUGUGCUAAGUUAUAGCUUUUUAUAGACAACUUGUUGACUAUGAUUAGUCUUGUAGCUUACUCGCUUAUGCUAUUUAC
rnacentral:rRNA from 1 species